CCAAGCUCCAUCAGCUGUCGGCAGGGCGAGGAGGGGAAAGGUGCCACACCUCCCUGGGAGAGAUUAUGCCCUCCCAUCCCUUUCCUCAACGGGUUUAGGCUCAGCGGGCAGGCAGGAGAGAGUGCCCAAAGGAGAGAGAAUAGGACUGUCACAUCUUCUGGAUAAAGAGCAAAGAAAUCUGACGCCUCUAACGAAGUCUAUGUAGAAGUUUAGAGAGAAGGUUGGCAAGGAGAGGAUAGAAAAGAAGAAUCUCCUCCAGGGGAAAGGAACGCAGAAGAAUAGGGGUAACCCGAAGGGUGGAGGGAAAAAGUAAAGAGGUACGGGGAUGCAGGGCAAGAAAGCUGCAGAAGAAACGUGAGGCAGGGAAAGGAGGGCGUCCCGACAGAAGGACAGCGCGGGGAAGGUGGGCGGACGAGGAGGACCCGGCUCGGCGGUCGAGGGGAAGGAGCAGGGCCUUACCUGCAGGGAGUAGUAAAGAAGACACAGUUGGCUUUGCUUUCAGAUAGGCAUACUAAGGAGAUGCAAAAUCUUCUUAUGAGUGAUAUGCAUUAAUCACCAGGGCUGGAAGAAAAGUUUAAGACCAGGAAGAGUGUGCUGAGAUCAAGUCUGUAACUGGUUAAGAAGUUCAUGGAAGUUUCUGAAUUGAUGAUGUCAAAUCACUUCAUCAUUGAAUGCCUUUGACAGUGAGUGAAUAAAAUGUUUGUUCCCAGCCUAGAA